ACAUGCAAGUCGAGGGGCAGCAUCAUUAAAGCUUGCUUUGAUGGAUGGCGACCGGCGCACGGGUGAGUAACACGUAUCCAACCUGCCGACAACACUGGGAUAGCCUUUCGAAAGAAAGAUUAAUACCGGAUGGCAUAGUUUUCCCGCACGGGAUAAUUAUUAAAGAAUUUCGGUUGUCGAUGGGGAUGCGUUCCAUUAGGCAGUUGGCGGGGUAACGGCCCACCAAACCAACGAUGGAUAGGGGUUCUGAGAGGAAGGUCCCCCACAUUGGAACUGAGACACGGUCCAAACUCCUACGGGAGGCAGCAGUGAGGAAUAUUGGUCAAUGGACGAGAGUCUGAACCAGCCAAGUAGCGUGAAGGAUGACUGCCCUAUGGGUUGUAAACUUCUUUUAUACGGGAAUAAAGUGAGCCACGUGUGGCUUUUUGUAUGUACCGUAUGAAUAAGGAUCGGCUAACUCCGUGCCAGCAGCCGCGGUAAUACGGAGGAUCCGAGCGUUAUCCGGAUUUAUUGGGUUUAAAGGGAGCGUAGGCGGGUUGUUAAGUCAGUUGUGAAAGUUUGCGGCUCAACCGUAAAAUUGCAGUUGAUACUGGCGACCUUGAGUGCAACAGAGGUAGGCGGAAUUCGUGGUGUAGCGGUGAAAUGCUUAGAUAUCACGAAGAACUCCGAUUGCGAAGGCAGCUUACUGGAUUGUAACUGACGCUGAUGCUCGAAAGUGUGGGUAUCAAACAGGAUUAGAUACCCUGGUAGUCCACACAGUAAACGAUGAAUACUCGCUGUUGGCGAUAUACGGUCAGCGGCCAAGCGAAAGCAUUAAGUAUUCCACCUGGG
rnacentral:rRNA from 1 species